UUUUAUUUAUAAUUAUUUGACUCAGUUCAAUCAAUCUGAACAGGAAAUUCUUAAGAAAGUAUCUGGAUCAACCAAAAAAAUUUGUUCAAAGGACACAAAAAUCUGCAAAACCAGAAGAGGAGAUGAAGAAAUCUGAGGCCACUGUUCAAUCUGUCUCGAGCAGUUCUCAGCGGGUAACAAAAAUUCUGGGAAGUAAGAGAAUUCUUCCUGCAAAGCCUUCCAUAAACAUUGAAGCUAGCCCUAUGGAACUUGACACAAAAGAGUCAGAUGCUAAUCCAAAAUCCAAAUUCUUCUUUGGCUACUGCAUAGAAAGGAGUUUUGUGGCCUCAACCGUCCUGUAAUUUCCACAGAGAAAUUGAAAAAGUGAUAAACAAGAGCUGAAGGAGUCUGUGCAAGAGCUUGCUGCCCGAGCAGCUAGUUAUGCCAAAGCUGUAGCUGCAAAAAAUAUUGCACCACCAAAUUCAGCAUAUCAAUUCGAUGUUUCUUGGCGUGGACUUUCCGGUGACUAUAAUCUACAAGUUCAAUACUGAAGGUCUCCUCUAAUGCACUCUUCUUUGCUUCUUUCAGUUUUCAGCUUCACUCUGUUUAUACCAUUUAGACUGCAUUGGUUUUAUGCCUUUCUACUGCUCACCUUUUAUAUUAUAAUCAGUUCAGGUAACUUCACCCACAGCAUUACCUCAGAUAUUUAAGAAUACAUUAUCUGCACCUAUGCUUAUGCUUUAUGGACAUUGCUCGGUGUAUUGCCACAUUUUUCAUGAAAGAUGAAGAUUUGGCUGUUAGGUACUUGGAAAUCUGCCUAAGGUCCCAAGAUUCAGCAUGAUCAUCAUGUGUCUAUCAUCUUCUGAUAAAGCUGGAAAUAUAGGUAUUCGGAAGCUGGAAUUGAGCUUUUGGGGUUUUUAAAUUAAUUAAUUUAAUUUGUCUUAAGAAAGCUUUCCGUGAUCAGAUUCAUAUGUUGAGGUAUUUUAUCUGUCUUAAGAAAGCUUGUUUUCUGUAAUCAUUUGAAAAAACUGGGUUGAUGAUAUUGUUUGUUGGUUAUACAGGCUAUAGGUUGUAAAACAGGAUGUUAUAUGAGCCAUUCAGAGGAAAGCAAUUCAGGAUGUUAUACCACCCGUGCCAUGCUCUCCAAGUUCCUGAGUUGUUGAGUCUUCGAAGAUUCAAAAUACUACAAGGAAAAUUCAUGACUAUCAAUUCUCAUCUAGGGUGAAAAAUGAUAUUCAUCGUCUAGUAAUGAUGUAAAUGGGCAAUUUCCUUUUGCAUGAAACAGUCAUAUUGAAUAAACUAUUAUGUUGCUUUAUAUUUUUCAUGUCAAAAUACUUUUCAGUUAUGUAUGCACAUUUCAAUUAAUAUGUAGACAAUUGUACAUGAAUAUUUUUUGAUAUUAUUUGACAAAUAUUUGUUACAAUUGAUUUUCUUUUCAAUUGAAUGUGUAUAUAGAGUUUGUUUGUGGUUGCAA